ACGGUGGGUGGUGAUGGAGAUCCUUUGUGAGUAUUCCCUUAACAAGGAAGCCCCAGAGAUGAGUCUCAGAGAGCAGAAGUUCAGUGGAUUCACUGUCCCAGUGCCCAGACCUCUGCUCAGCCCCAGCACCAGCACUCGGCCUGGGUCAGAGGCACAAAAGACUCUGCUGGUGUGUGUUUGAGGGAAACAAGUAAGUAAGACUGGGCCACUCAGACACAGCCCUCCAUCCUGGGGUGUUCCCCUUCCAUGGGGUACCACUGUGGCUGCCUUUUAAGAAUAUGUUUGCAUUUCAGCCCCUUGAAUUGAAUUGUCAUCUGCCAGUUUUAUUUUCCUCAGAAGCAACAUUAUUGAACUACAGGUGAGAUUGUCUCAGCAGAAAAGGAGGCCCCACGGAGGCGUCAAGAAAAUUGUUGCCUUCAAGAGCCCCAGAAAAGGCGGCCUUCAGACACCCAGGGCUCCCCUUAAGAAAGCCAGGGAUUGGAAUGGGAAGUGGACAGGGGGCGCCCUUGGGCAGCCUGUACCUGCUCCUAGGCACCAGGCAAUCCUUCCACACACACUGGAGUCAUGGCAGAAGGAAAGGAGGUGAGCCACAUACCAAGGUCCUUGAAAGAAACUCUGGUGCUUCAGAAGAGUGGGCAGAAGCUGAGGGACCAUUUACUCCUAGAAACUGUCUCCUGUUUCCAGCCAGCUGUGUGGCCACAUGGAAGAGAUCUCAAGGCUUGUGGGUUUCUGAGCUCAAUAUUCCCGAAAGAAACUAGUGCCCUCAUAUUUGGAGCUCUAUUCAUUUCAAAUCCACCAACCUUUUGCUGUCAAGCCUAGCAAUUUUCCCCAAUGCCCUUGGAGUGGUGAUCACUAUGCAUUUUUCUCUAUCUGAGAACACACAAUCAAAAUCUUUAAUGCUUCCUGACUUAAAGUGGUUAGAGCUGAGGCCAUGGUGCAAAGAUGGUGGUGUUUUCAGAGGGUCCCUAUGGACCGAGGGUCUCUCAUUAGAGAACACUGCUGACUCCAAAGUACCUGAGCCACCCUCUCAGACCCCAGGACCUCCUCAGGGCACUUGGCAUCACUUGUAGGCUCCUAGGAAAUAGCUGAGCCUUCAGGGGCCCAGUGCUCCAGGCUGGGCUGCCUCAAGCCUAUACCUUGGAUUUGUUGUUCUGGAAACAGGCUUCCCUUUCUGGAGAUGGAUGGAGCUCUGUGACCCUGCCUGCCUGGGCUGGAGCUCAGUCCCCAUGUACCAUCCCCUGAAGACCACAUCCAUGCAUCCCUAAGGCUGGGAACAUCCAUGCUCUUCAGAGACGCUGGGCUUUCCAGUGCAGGGAGGCUGCUUUAGUGUUUAUGCUCCUAAUCCCCACUCCAGGACUGCUCCUCAGCUCAACUUCUCAUUUGCCAGCACCAUAAUCCCAAGAGGGGACAGUGGCCUGGGCUACGGAGCCAUUGAUGGGGAACAUGGAGAUGUCCCCUUGUGCCACCCCACAGCACACACAGCAGUCCCACUGUGUACAGAUGUGGCACUGGGGUACCUGGGAUGAUGACAGCUCCCAAUACUGCUGUGGGACAAAACACCUUUAUGGCCAUGAACCCAAAUCUUUCAAAACAGGAGACUACCAACCACAAAGAAAAUAUGACCUUUGUGAAUUAGAGACAACCCUGGUCUUGGAGUUCAAAGCAUUUAAGAAAUUAGCUCUGUGACCCUCAACAAUUUCUGAGUGACAACUUUUUUAUUUGUACAACAGAAUUACUUGCCCCCUCCUUCCUCUAAAAGUCUUAGUGAAAAAUCACAGGAACAGGUAGUAUUUACGGAAGCUUUUUAUAAACUGCAAUGUGCUAUGAUAGUGGCAACAAUAACAACUAACCCUAACAAUUAUUCACUAUGUACCAGGUACACAGUUAAGCAUUUUAUAUAUAUUAACUCCUUCAAAUAUUGCCCCUCAAAUUCUACAAGGGAGUAUUAUUAUUAUUACUCCCAUAUUAAGUUACAGAAACUGAGGCUGGAAGAGGCCAGGAGACUCACUCAAGGUCACAUAGCUAGUAAAUGACAAAGGCACUCAACCCUAAUGCCCAUGACCUCAACAACCACAUGAUGUUGCUUGUGAGGAGGAGGGUUGUAUGGCAUGGAAAAAAGAAAUACGGUCAGUGUAGCCAGUUGGCUUUGUGGGUUGUUGUAGGAAUCCAAGUUCAGACUGGCAUGUGGUACCACCAGGGAAAGCUUGAGCCAUUCUCUUGCCAACCUGAAAUACAAUCCCUUCUCAGGGAGGUGGUGUGCCCCAACUCUGAACUGAGCAAAACAACCAGAUACCAACCCAGAUGGCCUGUAUUUCGAAACCAAUGUUGGGGUUGGAGGGACGGGGCUGUGCCUUGAAGAUUCUAUAAUUCAUUAAGGUGAGGUGACGUGUCCAAGGUCAUGUUGCAGAUUACAAGCAGACAGGAGACUAGACAGUGGCUCUCCUACCUCCCUACUCGGGUUGUUCAUUCCACCAGGUCAGCAAUUCCAAGAUGCAAGUCCAUGUCCUGUGUUGGAACUAUGCAGUGGCGGGGCUGCAUCCAAAUGAAGAUUCCUAGGCCACUGUCAUUUGCUAUGGGCCUAGGAUCUGCCUUUUAAACAAAUAUGUACGGUCUUCACAUGCCUUGCCUAUGUUGGCAAGGAGAUGAGGUGCCAUUUCCUCUGUAAAGCUCUCUAAGCCUGAUCACAUCCAGAGCUGGUCCUUCUGCCCUCGGACAAUAACAUGCCAGCCCUGGGAAGGGUUUUCAGAACAAAGGCAUGCUGUUGUCUUCCAAAUGUGUGUUAGAAGAUGGAGCCCCGGCCUUCCUCUGACACCUAGAGUGGGGAAGAGUCACGUCUUUAAACACAGUGUCACUACUUGUGCAUCUGUGCCUGGACCCAGGUGCCAGAAUGUGAAGCCUAAGAGGUGGCUAGGAAGACAAGCACAUUUCAUAUAGGAGUCCUGAGUCAUGCUCAGGGGGGGAACACGUGGCAUAAACCGCAACCAGAGUCUGAAAUGCCACCAUUGCCACUCCAUUCUCUGCAAAAUUGUAACUCUGAGGGAAGAAGAAGGGCAUAAUAAAUUAGAGUGAUGCCUGGUAUUCUCACCUUCACAGGAACUAUUUCAUCAACAGACUUUCCAAGAGGCCUCAAGACGCACAGCAGGUGCAUCUUAAAGGAAGAUAAAUGAAGACAGAGGGAGCCUGCCUUGCCACAAGGGUGGGGGACAUGAGAGAGCCCCUCAGCAGAGAAAACUUAGUGAGCUCAGAGAUAGGAGGGCCCUCUGGAUGGGACGAAGGGAGCUUUGAGUGUCAGAAACAUAUAGCCAAGAUCAGCAGAGUUGGCCUCACUUUCCUCAGCGCCUGCUGUAUAAUCUUUCUGAGACAAUGUGGAUCGAAAAGUAACCCCUUAAAAUAUUGCUGAAAGCAGACUCUAGAGGCAAUCGUAAGUUACCUGGAUCCCUGCAUUGCCAUUGUCAGACAUGCUUGCUCUUUUCAAAGUUAAUGCCAAAAUAGGAGAUGCCUCUGGGUCCACCCAUGUGGUACAAUACAGGCAGAAGCACAGAGAACACAAGCCAGUGAGUACAUAGAGUGUCGGCAAAGUGAGGCAUUUCUGGAAAGCCAGAGAAAUUUAUCUUAACUCAGGAGAGAAUCUUUCCCUUUGCCUCUUAACUAAAGAGCUUUCUAGUGAUAAAAGAAAGUUUCCUAUGUUCAAUAAUAAUGUGACAAAUUAAAAGGACAUUGUCAACGAUUGUUAAGGUAAUUGUAGUAAAAGUCAACAAAGGAUGGAAAUAAAGUCAAUAUAAUUCUCUGCCUGAAAAUA